ensembl:snRNA
GUGCUGUAUAAAAGGAGAAAAGGUUGGAGGCCACCCUUGGGCCUGACAACACACAUAUGGUUAGGUAUUGCCACCUACUUCGUGGCAUCUAACCAUCAUUUUUA